GACGAACGCUGGCGGCGUGCUUAACACAUGCAAGUCGAACGGAGUGGCGAACGGGUGUGUAACACGUGGGUGACCUGCCCUGCACUUCGGGAUAAGCCUGGGAAACUGGGUCUAAUACCGGAUAGUGUGGGAUGGGCGCGCGGCCAAUCCGCUUGGUGGUGGGGUAAUGGCCUACGAAGGCGGCGUCGGGUAGCCGGCCUGGGAGGGUGGACGGCCACAAGGGGACUAAGACACGUAGCAGAGUCCAACGGGAGGCAGCAGUGGGGAAUAUUGCACAAUGGGCGGAAGCCUGAUACAGCGACGCCGCGAGGGGGAUGACGGGCUUCGGGUUGUAAACUCCUUUCACCAUCGACGCGGUAGAUGGAGAAGAAGCACCGGCUAACUACGUGCCAGCAGCCGCGGUAAUUC
rnacentral:rRNA from 1 species